GACAGAGGAUGCAAGCGUUAUCCGGAAUGAUUGGGCGUAAAGCGUCUGUAGGUGGUUUAUUAAGUCUACUGUUAAAGAUCAGGCUUAACCCUGAGCAGCAAUAGAAACUAAUAAGCUAGAGUACGGUAGGGGCAGAGGGAAUUCCCGGUGUAGCGGUGAAAUGCGUAGAUAUCUGGAGGAACACCGUGGCGAAGGCGACCCUCGGUGAC
rnacentral:rRNA from 1 species